rnacentral:lncRNA from 1 species
AAUAAAGCCAAACAAAUGGGCUGAACUAUACAGAUUGGCCCAACUACAAAGUAUACCUGAUAUACAAUUAAUAUACACUAAAUAUACAGUAAAAAUUCAAUGUAUGUGUAUGGGAUAUGAAGCUAAAUAGUCUUGUAGUUCAACACCACCCCUCAAGUUGGAGGGGGAAACCACCUUCAACUUAGACAACAAAGGAAUUAGAAUGGUGCCAGGGAGUGGUUUGGUGAGAAGAUCAGCCAGCUGACGAGAGGUAGAAACAUGGGACAGAGUAAUGAGUCCAGCAGCCAAUAAAUCACGCACAAAAUGACAAUCUACUUCGAUAUGUUUGGUCCUCUCAUGAAAAACAGGGUUUUUGGCAAUAUGUAUAGCAGCCUGACUGUCACAGAAAACAGAAAAAGGGAGAGAAACAGAAAUACCAAGGUUAGUUAGCAAGCGGGAAAGCCAAGACAGUUCAGCAACUACCUUACUGAGAGCCCUAUACUAGCUUCAGCAGAAGAUAAAGAGACAACGGGUUGUUUCUUAGAUUUCCAACUAAUCAAGCAGCACCCAAAAGAAUACAAAACUCAGUUACAGACCUGCGAGUAUCUGGACAGGCAGCCUAAUCACUGUCUGAAUAAGCAUGGACAGACAAAUCAGAACUGUCAGAAUAGAAUAAACCCAAAUGCAUAGACCGUUUUAGAUAUCUGAGAACAUGUAAAGCAUCAGACAUAUGUGGGACUCUGGGACACUUCAAGAAUUGACUCAGAUGCUGAACAGCAAAGCAGAUGUCAGGCCUGGUGUGAGUCAUAAAUAAGAGCUUACCAACAAUGCUUUUAUAUUGUUCAGGAGAGGAAAGAAUGUCACCAGAAUCAGCAUGGAGUUUCACAUUAAGAUCCAAAGGAAAAACAACAGAAGAAACAUUCAUACAGUCAAACUAAUGCAACAGGUCAGAAAUAUAUUUAUGCUGAUUGAGAAGCAUCCCACCAGGAACUACAGACAUCUCAAUGCCCAGAAAAUAAUGCAAAGACCCAAGGUCUGACAAACAAUAGGAGAAACAUUCAUACAGUCAAAUUGAUACAGCAGGUCAGAAACAUACUUAUGCUGAUUAAGGAGCAUCCCACCAGGAACUACAGACAUCUCAAUGCCCAGAAAAUAAUGUAAAGACCCAAGGUCUUUGAUCCUGAACUGAUCAUCCAGAAACAGCUUCAGGCAAGAUAGCUCAUCAUUGUCAUCCCCAGUGAUGAUAAUGUCAUCCACAUAGAUUACUACGAUAACCAGACAGCCAGACUGGCCUUUGAUAAACAGAGAAUAAUCAUUCAUGGAAUGACUAUAGCCUCUAGAAUAAAGGGCAGAGGACAACUUGGCAUACCAUUGUCUGGAUGCCUGCCUCAACCCAUAUAGUGAUUUUUUCAAUUUGCAUACAAGAGGAGGAGAUGGAGAAGAAACAGAGUCAGAAGAAGAUACAGAAAUAGAUAAACCUGGGGAAGCUUCACAUAAACCUCCUCAUCCAAAUCACCAUGCAAGAAAGCAUUGUUAAUAUCAAGUUGAAAAAGUUUCCAAUGCUUCUUAACAACCACUGCAAUAAGACACUUCACAGUGGACAUUUUAACCACAGGAGAAAAGGUGUCAGUGAAAUCAACCCCUUCAAUUUGACAUUUUAACCAUAGGAGAAAAAGUGUCAGUAAAAUCCACCCCUUCAACUUGAGUAUCCCCUCUAAUAACAAGGCUGGCUUUGUGUCUUUCAACACUACCAUCAGCCUUAUACUUGAUCUUAUAAACCCAUUUGCAGCCAAUGUGUUUCUUACCAGAAGGAAGAGGAACAAUGUCCCAAGUGCAGUUAGCAUCCAUAGCAUCAAACUCCUUUCUCAUGGCAUCCUGCCAUACUAGAACUGAUGCAGCUUGAGAGCAGUAAAGGGGUUCAGUCUCCAGAGGAGAAGAAGAAGACCCAGAGAAAACAGGAAGGUUACAAACAUAAUCCUUAAGAUAAGAAGGAGGAUUGUGCUGUCUGCCAGAUUUCCUGGGAAUAGUAGUUGAUGUGGAAGAAGGUAAAGUAGGAGGGGAGAUGUCAGGGUUGAAAGGAGGAUAGAAAAUUGGAUAUGAAGAAGGAGAAUCUGGAACAGGAGGUGGAACAGGAGGAGAGGAAGAGAUUGGAACAGAGAAGUCUUGGUCAGAAGAGGAAUGUUCAAGAGGAGGAAUAGAAUGGAAAGAGGAAGGAAAAGCAGGAGGAAAUGUAUAUAAUUUUUUAGCAAAAGGAUACCCCAGGAAAACACAUGAAAUGGCCCUAGGCUUUAACUUGUCCCUUUGAGGAAUGAGGACAGUAGCAUAGGCAAGGCAGCCAAAAGCCUUUAAAUGAGAGUAAGUGGGUUCCUUACCAUGCAAGAUUUCAUAAGGGGACUUACCAUGAAGGAGCCUAGAGGGUAUUCUGUUAAUAAGAUAGGUAGCAGUUAAUAGGCAAUCACCCCAAAAAGAGAUAUGUAAACCAGACUGGAAGAGUAAAACUCUACAGGUUUCAAGAAGAGUUCUAUGUUUACUCUCAACAACACCAAUCUGUUGAGGAGUAUGUGGGCAAGUGGUUUGGUGUAUGAUGCCAUGUUGGUUAAAAAAGGAUGUACCAGCAAUGCUAGAUCCUAAUUCUAAAGCAUUGUCACUCCUAACAGUUGUAUAUUUGCAUUGAAUUGGGUAUUGACCAUACAUAGAAAAGAUUGAAGCAUGCAGAAAGCAUUGCUUUUAGACCCUAGCAAAUGUGUCCAGGUUGCCCUACAAAAUUCAUCAACUAUUGUGAGAAAAUAUCUAGAACCAGAAGAGGUGGGGGUAUGAUAAGGUCCCCAAGUAUCAACACGAAUCAACUGAAAAGGUUUAGAUGUAUUAGUAGUGCUAUCAGGAAAGGGAAGCCUAGUUUGCCUGGCCAUAGGACAGGUAGAGCAUUGAAAAGGCUGUUUAGAAGCAAAUGGAAAAGAUAAAGCAGAAAUGUGUUU